UACGAAGGGGGCUAGCGUUGCUCGGAAUCACUGGGCGUAAAGGGUGCGUAGGCGGGUUUUUAAGUCCGGGGUGAAAUCCUGGAGCUCAACUCCAGAACUGCCUUUGAUACUGAAGAUCUUGAGUUCGGGAGAGGUGAGUGGAACUGCGAGUGUAGAGGUGAAAUUCGUAGAUAUUCGCAAGAACACCAGUGGCGAAGGCGGCUCACUGGCCCGAGACUGACGCUGAGGCACGAAAGCGUGGGGAGCAAACAGG
rnacentral:rRNA from 1 species